GUAAGGAAGCUGUGAACAGCUGUGCCCCCUCUGCUCUGCUCCUGCCCCUCCCAACUCUCCAAUUCUUCCUCUUGCACCUCUUGUAGCUGGCUGCAGCAGUCAGCUUUUUCUCUGUUUCUUGGGCAGGAACCACAUGGCAGAUAAUAGUGAUCUGACCUUUCUCUUGUCCUGAGAGGGGAAAAUGGGAAUGAAGGGCCAUGGACACAGGGCUAUCCAUGGAAGUGACUGGGGAGGUCAAGUACUCCAGUAGCACAGAAAGAUCCCAUCUCACAGGCAGAGAUGUUUUUCCAAAUAAAGAGCCAGGAGCUAAGCGCAAUCCUCUCCUGAACCCAGGGAAGAUGAAAGUGCAUAGGGUCCUGCAGCUGGCUGCUCACAGCCAAACAGCUUCAGUGGAUGCAACCUGCCUGUCCUAACUGAGCUCAUUCCAUCCCUGUCUUACUGCUGAAACACUGACCACCUGAAGGUACUGCAGGAAAUGAAGCUUCACUCCUGGUCUUUGUUUUAAUUUUCCACUAUGUUUUCCAUAUGUAUUUACAACAAAUGUGAAUUGAAAGUAUAACUAGCAUAGUCAUAUUGAUAAAUAAAUUCAGCAGCUUACAAUGA